GAUGAACGCUGGCGGCGUGCCUAAUACAUGCAAGUCGAGCGAACGGACGAGAAGCUUGCUUCUCUGAUGUUAGCGGCGGACGGGUGAGUAACACGUGUAUAACCUACCUAUAAGACUGGGAUAACUUCGGGAAACCGGAGCUAAUACCGGAUAAUAUUUUGAACCGCAUGGUUCAAAAGUGAAAGACGGUCUUGCUGUCACUUAUAGAUGGAUCCGCGCUGCAUUAGCUAGUUGGUAAGGUAACGGCUUACCAAGGCAACGAUGCAUAGCCGACCUGAGAGGGUGAUCGGCCACACUGGAACUGAGACACGGUCCAGACGCCUAAGGGAGGCAGCAGUAGGGAAUCUUCCGCAAUGGGCGAAAGCCUGACGGAGCAACGCCGCGUGAGUGAUGAAGGUCUUCGGAUCGUAAAACUCUGUUAUUAGGGAAGAACAUAUGUGUAAGUAACUGUGCACAUCUUGACGGUACCUAAUCAGAAAGCCACGGCUAACUACGUG
rnacentral:rRNA from 1 species